rnacentral:tRNA from 3 species
CAAAGUAUAGCUUAAUCAAAAGCACCCGGCUUACACCCGGAAGAUCUCAAAUAAUCUGAUUACUUUGA